CAGUAGCCACGGGAAUACGUAGGGUCCGAGCGUUGUCCGGAAUUAUUGGGCGUAAAGAGCUCGUAGGCGGUCUGUCGCGUCUGCCGUGAAAUCCUCAGGCUCAACCUGAGGCGUGCGGUGGGUACGGGCAGGCUAGAGUGCGGUAGGGGAGAAUGGAACUCCUGGUGUAGCGGUGGAAUGCGCAGAUAUCAGGAAGAACACCGAUGGCGAAGGCAGUUCUCUGGGCCGUAACUGACGCUGAGGAGCGAAAGCGUGGGGAGCGAACAGGAUUAGAUACCCCUGUAGUCCCUGUCUCUUAUAA
rnacentral:rRNA from 1 species